CGUCGCUACCGGGCUGCCUUUUCAAGGUUAACCAACACGAUAUAUAUACGAGCGACCGCUAAGUGCCUAAGGUGCCCGGGUAGAUAAAUAAUCUUUCCUUUUAUUCGAUCUCUCUUUUCCUUUUUCUUUUUUCCUAGGAUUAAUUAUUAUUAUUGUUACUAUUAUUGUUAUUAUUAUUAUUAUUAUUAUUAUUAUUAUUAUUAUUGUUUGAAGAUUAACCGAUAUUAUCCCUCUCUCUCUCUCUCUCUCUCUGUGUCUCUCUCAUAAUUAAUUCCUUGCUACACGCGCUCCUCUGCCCUUCACCAUUCUCCGUUACUUAUUACCAACUUGUACUAUCGUUUGUCAAGUAGAACGUUUAAUUUAAUUCUUUUUGUUAUUCUUGCUCUUCCUUCUUCUUCUUCUUCUUCUUCUUCUUCUUCUUCUUCUUCUUCUUCUUCUCUUAAGAAGGUUUUCACCUUCUCUUAUGUUUCAUUAACAUCAGCGCGAGUGACCGUAACACGCGCCGCUUGGAUACGAGUUUAUAUAGUUUCCAUUUGCGAACUUGUGUGUGAGAAAAGAAGAAUCAACGGCAACAUCCAACAGCAACAACAACAGCGGUGUAUCAUCAUCGUCAUCAUCAUCAUCAACAUCAACAUCGCCGUCAUCAACAUCAUCAAAGUUGGAAAACAGUGACGAAGAACUGUGUGUACUUCUGUGUGAUCAUCUUCUUUUUCGUCUACUUCUAACACCGUAGAAGUAAUUUCCCGUUCGAUAAUCACGUAACUCGAAGACUAUUUCGCACGGAUAUAUCUGAAAUAGAACGAAAACUCGUUGAGCCGGAAUGGAGUUCUUCCAUAACCAUCGAAAUCGCAGGAGUGAUGCGAUCAACGCGGGAAUGAAUCGAAGGUCGAAACCAAUGAGACCACUUCGACGGACGAAGUUGUUACCAAGCCGGACAAUGACGCUACUCUUAUCGAUAUUGCUAAUGGCGUUUACGCUACCAGUCGCACGUUUAGAAUCAGCGAUUGGUUCGGUGAGCAACGGCGGGGUUUCGUUAUCGAGCGGUGGUUCGUCGUCCUCGUCAUCGGCAAUAUCUUCUUCGUCAUCGUCCUCGUCCUCGUCGUCAUCGUCGAUCGGGGUAGUUUCCGGUGGGAGUUCAGUAUCCGGAGGUAUACCUGGCGGUGCUGGGAACAGCGUGAUCGGUGGAAGUGGGAGUGGUGGAAAUAGCGGUGGCGGUGUUGGUGGUGUUGGUGGUGGUGGUGGUGGUGGAGGUGGUGGUGGUGGUGGUGGUGGGGGUGGUAGUCAUUCCGGACUUGGAAGUAGUAAUAGCGGAAGUUCGGGGAACGGAAAUGGCCGAUGCGAAGAGAUCACGAUACCGAUGUGCCGUGGUAUCGGUUACAAUUUAACGGCCAUGCCAAACGAAUUAAAUCACGAUACUCAAGACGAGGCUGGUUUGGAGGUUCAUCAAUUUUGGCCUUUAGUCGAGAUCAAGUGUUCUCCAGAUUUAAAGUUCUUCCUUUGCUCGAUGUAUACGCCAAUAUGCUUGCCCGAGUAUACCAAACCUCUGCCAGCUUGCAAAAGCGUUUGUGAAAGGGCUCGUGCCGGUUGCGCGCCCCUUAUGCAACAGUACGGUUUUUCUUGGCCGGAAAGAAUGGCCUGUGAGAGGUUACCGAAUUAUGGCGAUCCAGAGAAUCUCUGUAUGGAUCAAAAUAAUCGUACGAGCAACGGUGGCGGAUCGGGAAGCGGUGGUAACGGUGGUGGCUCGGCGAGCAAUGCACCGAUGCAACCAGUAGCUACGCCAACUAGACCAACAAGACCGUCCAAGACCAUGCAGCCGGCUCGUUGCAAGCCAGGAAAAAAUCAAAAAAACUGCCAACACCCCCCGGGGGAAAGGGCGAGGGAUUGCUCGUGCAGAUGCAGGGCACCUCUCGUGCCUCUGGGGGUGGGAACAACGGGCACGGUGAUACCCGGCCAGAUAAGCGGAAGCAACAGCGGGGGAGCUGGACUGGCCGGCAUGGCCGUAAGUGGAGUCAUUCCGGCGCCACCGCAGGCGGACAACGUUCGGAACAUCAUUCAGGAAAUUGCAGGGGUACGGGAUUGCGCCCUGCCGUGUCACGGGGCGUUUCUCACCCCCGAAGAGCGAGGGUUCGCGGCCGUUUGGCUGUGCCUGUGGAGCGGCCUAUGCGCCGCAAGCACUCUCACGACCGUCACCACGUUUCUGAUCGACACCCAGCGCUUCAAGUAUCCUGAGAGACCGAUAGUCUUCCUCUCGGCGUGUUACUUCGUCGUGUCCCUCGGUUAUCUCUCGAAGAACGUGAUAGGACACGAAGAGAUAGCCUGCGACGGGCCAGCGCUGAGAUCGGGAGCACAGGGACCGGGAGCUUGCGUGACGGUCUUCCUGAUGAUCUAUUUCUUCGGCAUGGCAUCCUCAGUUUGGUGGGUCAUACUGGCAUUCACGUGGUUCCUCGCGGCCGGUCUGAAAUGGGGAAACGAAGCAAUAGCCUCUUACUCCCAGUACUUUCAUCUGGCAGCGUGGCUAGCGCCUACGGUACAAACGGUUUGGGCGUACAUGGCAGGAGGAGUAGCGGGGGAUCCGGUAGCCGGAGUAUGCACGGUAGCUCCGGAAGGCGUGAGCACGUUCAUUCUAGCGCCGCUCUUCGUUUACCUCUUACUAGGAACGAGCUUCCUCUUGGCCGGUUUCGUCAGUCUAUUCAGAAUUCGUUCGGUUAUAAAACGACAGCCAGGAGCGAAAGCGGACAAGUUGGAGAAACUUAUGAUACGAAUAGGCGUGUUCAGCGUUCUGUAUACACUUCCAGCCGGCGCGGUUCUAACCUGUCACAUCUACGAGUCCGUAUUACGCGACGAGUGGCUGAGCUCCCUGGCCUGUCCAUGUCGGUCUCGAGCAAGGCCCCUAUACUCCGUCCUCAUGCUAAAGUACUUCAUGGCCCUCGCGGUCGGCAUAACGUCGGGCGUUUGGAUCUGGAGCGGCAAAACCCUCGACAGUUGGCGGCGUCUAUGGAGGCGUCUCUUCGGAGGCGGGAGUGGCGCAGGCGUUCACGGAGGCGGUGGCGCCGGUAUGGUAGCCGGCGUGACAGGCGUCAGCGGAGGAAUAGGAAGCGCCAGCAUGAAGGGCGUCGUAGGUCGUGUCGCCAUGCCGUACCCAGCGGCACCGGGACCUGGUAGCGCACUUUUACCACCAGGUAGCGUGGCUAGCGCGUCUCAACAUCAUCUACAUCAUCACGUACUCAAGCAACCACCCCUUUCGCACGUAUGACGUCACCAGUCGGCGGGAGGCGACAUGAGCACCGCCGGCUGCGAGCAGCCGCAGCAGCAACAGGCCCAGCAGCAGCAACAACAACAACAACAGCAACAACAGCAACAACAGCAAUCGCAAUCGCAACAAUCGGUGCAGCAACAGGAGAGGCCUUCCGCCCUUAGCAACUACGGGCCCAUUUAGCCCUUCGCCUCGGCCUCGCGCAGGCACACGCCGCACACGCCGCACACGGCACCGCACACGGCACCUCAUACCCCGCAUUCAGCGGCUACGAUCUAUUCUAGAAGGUCUCUUGCAUCAACUACUGGACCUCUUACGCCUGCACACGGUCUUGCACCGUCUUACUCUCAGGCGACCGAGGUUUGAGGAUCGUCGAGAUAACAUCGAGUAUUAUAUAGGGACUUUUCGGUCUCCAUCAGCUUUAUUACUCGGUGAUCAUACACUUCAAACAUAAUACAUACAUUACGAAAACAAAAACACAUACGCAUAUACAUAAACGUACAUUGAAACAAACACGCACACGCGUACAUAGGAUUUACCCGAUAUACGUAUUAGCCCGUACGUGUCUUCCCCGUGGAUUUGAUUCAGAGUUCACGUGUUCUUUCGUCACCUCGUUAUAAAAUUCGAGCGACGCCAAAUAUGAUCAGCGCGAAAGGACACGCUCUUUUCUAAUCCUCGGGCCGUGGAAGAGAAAGAGGGGGAGAAAGGGAGAGGGAUAGAGAGAGAGAGAGAGAGAGACAGACAGACAGAUAGAGAGAGAGACGGCGAGAGAGAGAGAGAGAGAGAGAGAGAGACAGAGAGAGAGAGAGAGAGAGAGAGAGAGAGAGAGAUAAACGAAAGAGAGGAAAAAUAGAAAAGUAAAUUUUGCUUGUAUAUUAUUCGAGAAGAAGGGGAGGGGGUAGUGAUAAUAUUAUAUAGCAUGUAUAUGAGGGAUCGACAAUUUUCUUUGUUUCCUUUUUUUCAUUCCUUCUUUUCUUUUUUUUUUCCUUUCUUUUCUUUCUUUCUUCUUUUUUCUUUUUUUUCUUUUUUCUUUUUGAUCGAGGUCGGUCGAUGUCGCAAAACGAUAAGAGAAAAAACGGAGGCGUAAGUACGACGAAAAACGAUGAAUCGUGAAAUAUCGUCGAAUGUAAUUCUUUUUCUUCUUUUUUCCCUUUUUCCUUCUUUCUUUCUUUCUUUUUUUUUUCUUCUACUUCUUAUUUAGAAAAGACUCGUAAGAGGGAUGAUGCGGAAGAGCAAGAGUGAGAGGAGGUUGGUUGGGUGGAAGAUAGAGAGGAUAGGUUUUGAACGGCGUUGAAGAGUUUCGAAGGCACCGAGUACCGGUAUUUAAAGCGCUUUUCCUCCUUUUUCAAGCAGCAUUUUCACCGACGACGACUACUACUCUAAAUACUACAAAUACUACGACUACUAAAUACUACUACUAUUACGAUUACUAUGGACAACGACGACGACGACGACGAAGACGACGAUCCUCCGGGGAAAUUCGACGUUAGAUGGAACAAAAAAAAAAGCAAGCAAGCAAAUGAAUGAACGAACGAACAAAUAAACAAACAAACAAACAAACAAACAAACAAACAAACAAAUGAAUAAAGAGAGGAAGCGAAAGAGAGAUGGGAAAAAAAAUUAUUAUGAGAGUAGAGUGAGGGUUUGAUUAUUAGACGCGCUAGCUAGCGGUGCAGCCGUAUUUCGUGUACUACUACACUGUGUUUGUGAAUUUUAACGAAGAUAUAGAAUGGAGUAUCGUUUUUUU